rnacentral:sRNA from 1 species
AGCAGCCCCCUUUGGGUCCCUUCCCUUUGUAUGGGAGCUCUGUUUUCAUGCUAUUUCACUCUAUUAAAUCUUGCAACUGCACUCUUCUGGUCCAUGUUUGUUACGGCUUGAGCUGAGCUUUUGCUCGCCAUCCACCACUGCUGUUUGCCACCACCGCAGACCUGCCGCUGACUCCCAUCCCUCCGGAUCCUGCAGGGUGUCCACUGUGCUCCUGAUCCAGCAAGGCACCCACUGCUGCUCCCGAUCGGGCUAAAGGCUUGCCAUUGUUCCUGCAUGGCUAAGUGCCCGGGUUCAUCCUAAUUGAACUGAACACUAGUCACUGGGUUUCAUGGUUCUCUUCCGUGACCCACGGCUUCUAAUAGAGCUAUAACACUCACCGCAUGGCCCAAGAUUCCAUUCCUUGGAAUCUGUGAGGCCAAGAACCCCAGGUCAGAGAACACGAGGCUUGCCACCAUCUUGGAACCGGCCUGCUACCAUCUUGGAAGUGGCUCACCACCAUCUUGGGAGCUCUGUGAGCAAGGACCCCCCGGGAACAUUUUGGCAACCACGAACGGACAUCCAAAGUGAAUCGAAGCUGUAAAACUACAAAUGGAGCCCAAGAUGCAGUCCAAGACUAAGAUCUACCACAGACCCCUGGACUGGCCUGCUAGCCCACGAUCUGAUGUUAAUGACAUCAAAGGCACCCCUCCUGAGGAAAUCUCAACUGCACAACCUCUACUACGCCCCAAUUCAGCAGGAAGCAGUUAGAGCGGUCGUCGGCCAACCUCCCCAACAGCACUUAGGUUUUCCUGUUGAGAUGGGGGACUGAGAGACAGGACUAGCUGGAUUUCCUAGGCCUACUAAGAAUCCCUAAGCCUAGCUGGGAAGGUGACCACAUCCACCUUUAAACACGGGGCUUGCAACUUAGCUCACACCUGACCAAUCAGAGAGCUCACUAAAAUGCUAAUUAGGCAAAAACAGGAGGUAAAGAAAUAGCCAAUCAUCUAUUGCCUGAGAGCACAGCAGGAGGGACAAUGAUCGGGAUAUAAACCCAGGCCUUCGAGCCAGCAACGGCAACCCCCUUUGGGUCCCCCCUCCCUUUGUAUGGGAGCUCUGUUUUCAUGCUAUUUCACUCUAUUAAAUCUUGCAACUGCA